rnacentral:rRNA from 1 species
UAGUCCACACCGUAAACGAUGAAUGCCAGUCGUCGGGCAGUAUACUGUUCGGUGACACACCUAACGGAUUAAGCAUUCCGCCUGGGGAGUACGGUCGCAAGAUUAAAACUCAAAGGAAUUGACGGGGGCCAGCACAAGCGGAGGAACAUGUGGUUUAAUUCGAUGAUACGCGAGGAACCUUACCUGGGCUUAAAUGUAGAUUGCAUAAAGCAGAGAUGCUUUUUUCUUCGGACUAUUUACAAGGUGCUGCAUGGUUGUCGUCAGCUCGUGCCGUGAGGUGUCGGGUUAAGUCCCAUAACGAGCGCAACCCCUACCGUUAGUUACCAUCAGUUCGGCUGGGCACUCUAGAGGAACCGCCGGUGAUAAGCCGGAGGAAGGUGGGGAUGACGUCAAGUCCUCAUGGCCCUUACGUGGUGGGCUACACACGUGCUACAAUGGUAGUGACAAUGGGUUAAUCCCAAAAAGCUAUCUCAGUUCGGAUUGUCGGCUGCAACUCGCCGGCAUGAAGUUGGAAUUG